rnacentral:rRNA from 1 species
GUUUAAAGGGUCCGUAGGCGGUUCAAUAAGUCAGUGGUGAAAUGCUAUAGCUCAACUAUAGCACUGCCAUUGAUACUGUUGAACUUGAGUUACAUUGAAGUAGAUGGAAUAUGUAGUGUAGCGGUGAAAUGCAUAGAUAUUACAUAGAACACCGAUUGCGAAGGCAGUCUACUAAGUGUACACUGACGCUGAUGGACGAAAGCGUGGGGAGCGAACAGGAUUAGAUACCCUGGUAGUCCACGCCGUAAACGAUGGAUACUAGCUGUUGGGUAGCAAUACUCAGUGGCUAAGCGAAAGUGAUAAGUAUCCCACCUGGGGAGUACGUUCGCAAGAAUGAAACUCAAAGGAAUUGACGGGGGCCCGCACAAGCGGUGGAGCAUGUGGUUUAAUUCGAUGAUACGCGAGGAACCUUACCAGGGCUUAAAUGCAGAAUGACAGGGCAAGAGAUUGCUUUUUCUUCGGACAUUUUGCAAGGUGCUGCAUGGUUGUCGUCAGCUCGUGCCGUGAGGUGUCAGGUUAAGUCCUAUAACGAGCGCAACCCCUACCGUUAGUUGCCAGCAUGUAAAGAUGGGGACUCUAGCGGGGCUGCCGGUGCAAACCGAGAGGAAGGUGGGGAUGACGUCAAAUCAUCACGGCCCUUACGUCCUGGGCUACACACGUGCUACAAUGGCCGGUACAGAGGGCAGCUACUUGGUGACAAGAUGCUAAUCCUUCAAAGCCGGUCCCAGUUCGGAUCGGAGUCUGCAACUCGACUCCGUGAAGUUGGAAUCGCUAGUAAUCGCAUAUCAGCCAUGAUGCGGUGAAUACGUUCCCGGGCCUUGUACACACCGCCCGUCAAGCCAUGGAAGUUGGGAGCGCCUGAAGUCGGUUACCGCAAGGAGCCGCCUAGGGUGAAACUGG